rnacentral:SRP_RNA from 1 species
GCUGGGUGUGGUGGCACGUGCCUGUAGUCCUAGCUACUCGGGAGGCUGAGGCUGGAGGAUCACUUGAGUCCAGGAGUUCUGGGGUGUAGUGCGCUAUGCCAGUCGGGUGUCCGCACUAAGUUCAGCAUCAAUAUGGUGACCUCCCAGGAGCGGAGGACCACCAGGUUGCCUAAGGAGGGGUGAACUGGCCCAGGUCAGGAAUGGAGCAGGUCAAAACUCCCAUGCUGAUCAGUAGUGGGAUCGUGCCUGUGAAUAGCCACCGCACUCCAGCCUGGGCAACCUAGCAAGACCCCAUCUCU